rnacentral:rRNA from 1 species
GAUGAACGCUGGCGGCGUGCCUAAUACAUGCAAGUCGAGCGAACGGACGAGAAGCUUGCUUUUCUGAUGUUAGCGGCGGACGGUGAGUAACACGUGGAUAACCUACCUAUAAGACUGGGAUAACUUCGGGAAACCGGAGCUAAUACCGGAUAAUAUUUUGAACCGCAUGGUUCAAAAGUGAAAGACGGUCUUGCUGUCACUUAUAGAUGGAUCCGCGCUGCAUUAGCUAGUUGGUAAGGUAACGGCUUACCAAGGCAACGAUGCAUAGCCGACCUGAGAGGGUGAUCGGCCACACUGGAACUGAGACACGGUCCAGACUCCUACGGGAGGCAGCAGUAGGGAAUCUUCCGCAAUGGGCGAAAGCCUGACGGAGCAACGCCGCGUGAGUGAUGAAGGUCUUCGGAUCGUAAAACUCUGUUAUUAGGGAAGAACAUAUGUGUAAGUAACUGUGCACAUCUUGACGGUACCUAAUCAGAAAGCCACGGCUAACUACGUG